CAGAAUUUAGUUUAUAGAAAAUAUCUCAUUUACGUUGAGUUGAAUUGAAUUGCAAUAUUUGUAUUCUGA
rnacentral:tRNA from 1 species